UUUAACAUUUCAAUUGUCUGUUACCUAGGAACAAUUUGUUUUGAUUAUUAUUUACAUGCAUAAUGACUGUCCUUUGAAUUUAGAAAAAGGAAGAAUUUAUAUUACUGAUAUUUCUUGCUAAUAAGUAUUACAGUGUACGAAUUGUUUAGCUGCGAAAGACCGCUGAAAUGAUAGCUUACAGACAUUAAAACGAUGAAAAAGUUCACUGCAAAGGUUGCAUGCCAAGGCCAAGAAAAUAAAGAUUCCAAAGAUGAUGAAACUUGUUCAAAAGAAGAAAAAACAGACGAGUUUGAUUUGCAGCUUGAAUGGGACGCAAAAGAGACAGAAGACAAUCUUCGUCUUAAUUUUCCAAUUUUAAAAGAUAAAAAGUUUACUUUGUGUUACAGACCAAAAGAAAAUGCAGAGCCUGAGCCAAUACCAGAUCCAAUAAAUACAUCGCAGAAACUUAAACAAUUUUUUGAACUUUUAGAAAUUAAACCUGUGAUAUUUUUAUAUC